rnacentral:rRNA from 1 species
CGCAGCCGCGGGAAUACAGAGGGUGCGAGCGUUAAUCGGAUUUACUGGGCGUAAAGCGUGCGUAGGCGGCUUCUUAAGUCGGAUGUGAAAUCCCUGAGCUUAACUUAGGAAUUGCAUUCGAUACUGGGAAGCUAGAGUAUGGGAGAGGAUGGUAGAAUUCCAGGUGUAGCGGUGAAAUGCGUAGAGAUCUGGAGGAAUACCGAUGGCGAAGGCAGCCAUCUGGCCUAAUACUGACGCUGAGGUACGAAAGCAUGGGGAGCAAACAGGAUUAGAUACCCCGGUAGUCCCUGUCUCUUAUACC